rnacentral:snoRNA from 1 species
UGGCAGUGAUGACUAUCUUAGGACACCUUUGGAAUAAUCAUGAAACAAACUAUUUUCUGAGCCAU